CAGCAGCCGCGGUAACACGUAGGGGGCGAGCGUUGUUCGGAAUUACUGGGCGUAAAGGGCAUGUAGGCGGCUUGGUAAGCCUGGCGUGAAAGUCUGCAGCUUAACUGUAGGGAUGCGUUGGGAACUGCUUAGCUUGAGUUACGGAGAGGGAGCUGGAAUUCCUGGUGUAGGGGUGAAAUCUGUAGAUAUCAGGAAGAACACCGAUGGCGAAGGCAAGCUUCUGGCCGACAACUGACGCUGAGGUGCGAAAGUGUGGGGAUCAAACAGGAUUAGAUACCCUGGUAGUCCACACAGUAAACGAUGUGCACGAGGUGCUGGGGCGGUAGUUUCAGUGCCGGAGCGAACGCGGUAAGUGCACCGCCUGGGGAGUAUGCUCGCAAGGGUGAAACUCAAAGGAAUUGACGGGGGCCCGCACAAGCGGUGGAGCAUGUGGUUUAAUUCGAUGGUACACGAGGAACCUUACCUGGGUUUGACAUACGGAGGGAAGUGGCAGAGAUGUCACUGCGUAGAGAUACGGCUCCGUACAGGAGGUGCAUGGCC
rnacentral:rRNA from 1 species